AUUGAACGCUGGCGGCAUGCCUUACACAUGCAAGUCGAACGCGAAAGAGGGGCAACCCUUGAGUAGAGUGGCGAACGGGUGAGUAACGCAUCGGAACGUAUCCAGUAGUGGGGGAUAACCCAUCGAAAGAUGGGCUAAUACCGCAUACGCCCCGAGGGGGAAAGUGGGGGAUCCGCAAGGACCUCACGUUAUUGGAGCGGCCGAUGUCCGAUUAGCUAGUUGGCGGGGUAAGAGCCCACCAAGGCGACGAUCGGUAGCUGGUCUGAGAGGAUGAUCAGCCACACUGGGACUGAGACACGGCCUAGACUCCUACGGGAGGCAGCAGUGGGGAAUUUUGGACAAUGGGGGCAACCCUGAUCCAGCCAUGCCGCGUGAGUGAAGAAGGCCUUCGGGUUGUAAAGCUCUUUCGGCCGGAACGAAAUCGCAUCUCUUAACACGGGGUGUGGAUGACGGUACCGGAAGAAGAAGCACCGGCUAACUACGUGCCAGCCGCCGCGGUAACAC
rnacentral:rRNA from 1 species